rnacentral:rRNA from 1 species
CGAGGUUGAUAGGCACAAGGUGUAAGAGUGGUAACAUUCUCAGCUGAUGUGUACUAAUAGGUCGAGGACUUAACCA